rnacentral:rRNA from 1 species
AACGGCCGUACCAUGCUGAAUAUACCGGUUCUCGUUAGAUCACCGAAGUUAAGCAUCAUUGGGCGCGGUCAGUACUUGGGUGGGGGACCACCUGGGAACACCGCGUGCCGUU